AAAUUGAAGAGUUUGAUCAUGGCUCAGAUUGAACGCUGGCGGCAGGCCUAACACAUGCAAGUCGAGCGGUAGCACAGAGAGCUUGCUCUCGGGUGACGAGCGGCGGACGGGUGAGUAAUGUCUGGGAAACUGCCUGAUGGAGGGGGAUAACUACUGGAAACGGUAGCUAAUACCGCAUAAUGUCGCAAGACCAAAGUGGGGGACCUUCGGGCCUCAUGCCAUCAGAUGUGCCCAGAUGGGAUUAGCUAGUAGGUGGGGUAACGGCUCACCUAGG
rnacentral:rRNA from 1 species